GGUUUCCCUGAAGAUGAGCGGCGGCUUCACGGGGUUGGAUUUGCCAUCAAAACUUCUCUCCUAAGCCAAAUUUCAGACUCGCCAUUUGGAAUUAGUGAACGACUCAUGACAUGGCGCAUACCCCUGAGUGAAGGGAGACACGUUACCAUCAUCAGUGAAUAUGCCCCUACUUUUGUCGCAAGUGAACGAGAGAAGGAUAACUUCUACAGCUCCUUGGAAGUAUGGCUGCAAGAAAUUCAACGCAACGAUAGAGUUCUCUUACUGGGCGACUUUAAUGCUAGAGUUGGCUGUGAACAUAACAUCUGGCCUGAUAUUCUUGGCAAGCAUGGGGUUGGAAAAGUCAACAACAAUAGCCUUAGGCUUCUCACUCUUUGCUCUGAAAAUCUACUAAACAUCACAAAUACAAAUUUCCACCUUAAAACAAAACAUAAAACAACAUGGCAGCAUCCUCGAUCGGGUCACCGGCAUCAACUGGACCACGUAAUAGUACGUCAGUCAGACAGAAAAGAGGUUCUAAUAACAAAAGUCAUGAGAGGGGCGGAGUGCUGGACAGACCAUCGUCUACUUCGCUGCAAGAUCAGACUGGACAUACAACCUCAGCAACGACGCCACCCACCUAUCAGAAAAUUGAACAUUCAAGCCCUGGAAGACCCUGAAACCUGCACAUCCUUCAGAGGCUGAGCUCCUUGCUGAGACCCAAGAUGACUAUGACAUUGAGGCCAAAUGGCAACACCUUCAAUCUGAUCUAUCCCAAGCUGCAGCAGACAUCAUUGGACACACAAAGACCUGGACUGGUUUGAUCGGAAUGCUCCUGGUAUUCAUCAACUUCUAGAGAAGAAAAAGAAAGCUCAUGAUGCAUAUCUCAACCAUCCCCAGUCUGUAGCACUUAAGUCUGAGCUCACAAACAUUAGAGCUGAAGUGCAAAGAGAGCUGAGAAGCAUGGAAAACAGAUGGUGGCAAGCCGGAGCUCUUGAACUCCAAUGCUUGCUGAUGCCAAUACACACACGGCUUUUACAAUACAGCAAAAAAAUAUUCGGACCAAGAAAACACAACACCCAUCCAGUUAGAUCAGCAGAUGGAAACAGUCUCUACCAAAACAACGACCAAAUCAUCUCUAGAUGUCCAGCGCAUUUCAGCAAUCUGCUUAACCAAGCAAACCCCACCCUGCCUCACAUACUGGAUACCUCCCUCCCUUGGAAACACUGGAUACAACCCCAGCCCUAAGUGAAGUUCUCACUGCCAUCAGAGGCUUAAAACAACAAAAGUCCCGGACCCGAUGGUAUUCCAGCAGAAAUCUUUAAAAGGGGAGGCUACCUCCUAAAGGUACGUAUAUACGAGUUAAUAUGCCAAAUAUGGACAGCUGGAAAGGUACCCCAAAUGCUGAAGAAUGCUAACAUUGUAACCAUCUUCAAGAAAAAAUGCAAGCCCGCGUCCAGGUCUGCGGCUCACUAUCUGAACCCCUUGAUGUGAAGGUGGGAGUAAAACAAGGAAGUGUGCUCGCCCCUGUUCUCUUCAACAUUUAUCUGCUAGCGUUGACCCAGUUGGCCCAGGCUGCCCUUGGGAGAGAUGCUGGUGUCACCAUACAGUAGCGACUUGAUAGCAGCCUCUCUAACAUCCGCCGCUUCCAGAGCCAAGGCCUCCGCCACCCAAAUAAUAGAAUUACAGUAUGCUGAUGACUGUGCCAUUGUUGCACAUGAUGCUGUAUCACUUCAAGCUAUUUCUGAUACUGUCUCAUCUGCCUGCUCUGCAUUGGGUUUAAAAAUCAAUUCACAGAAAACAGAAAUCAUAGCACAGUGUACACUAAUUCACGUAACUUAACCACCGUAACUAAUAAAAUAAACAUUAAUAACACUUUAAUAAACCAAUAAAUCCUCAUAAAUUCAAUAAUAAAGCCAAAAAAAACAUCAUAGCAGUGGGAAUUUUACUAUUAAAUCAAUAAUACACUAAUUCACGUAACUUAACCACCGUAACUAAUAAAAUAAACAUUAACAACACUUUAAUAAACCAACAAAUUCCAUAAAUUUAAUAAUAAAGCAAAAAAACUGAUUAUUCCUCCCGGAUUUAACAGUCUUGGCCGUAAUGGCGGGAGUGUGGUUCAGAAGACAGAUAAAGUCUAAUAUUUCCGCCAAUUACAGCCAUAUUAGCCCCCGGGGGAGGACUGUUUAACCACCGGGGAAGGGAGGAAAGCCCCAGGGUGAAGGGUGAGUAUGAAUAAAGGGAGAAAUAGGUAAAAUUAGGGCGUGAGGAGGAGAAAACUGAGGGAUGCUGUGUGCUGUCCCUCCCCGGCACUAGCUAAAAAGGUUUAUAUUUUUUUCUUUCUCUCCUCGCUGCCUCGUCUCUGUCCCUCCCAGGCUGAGGCGCAGACAGGUGAAGGGUAAAGGCACAGGCAGCGUAAUAAAGACACCCACUGAGACGCUUCUGAAGGGAGAAAACACUUUGGUUUCUCACAUCAGUUAUUUCUAAAGGUCAAAGAGGGGGUCAGCCGGGUUCUAAUGAGUGUUUCUUUAGGUUCACGGUACAGAGGAAGGGUCACACUACCAUCAGGGUCAUAAAACUACUCCUGGAAAUGCCCAGAACUCCUAGGAAAACCUUGUCAAAUGUGUGUUUCUUAGGUUCACGGUACAGAGGAAGGGUCACACUACCAUCAGGGUCAUAAAACUACUCCUGGAAAUGCCCACAACUCCUAGGAAAGCCUUGUCAAAUGUGUGUUUCUUAGGUUCAUGGUACAGAGGAAGGGUCAAACUACCAUCAGGGUCAUAAAACUACUCCUGGAAAUGCCCAGAACUCCUAGGAAAGCCUUGUCAAAUGUGUGUUUCUUAGGUUCAUGGUACAGAGGAAGGGUCACACUACCAUCAGGGUCAUAAAACUACUCCUGGAAAUGCCCCCCACAACUCCUAGGAAAGCCUUGUCAAAUGUGUGUUUCUUAAGUUCACAGUACAGAGGAAGGGUCAAACUACCAUCAGGGUCAUAAAACUAUUACUGAAAAUGCCCACAACUCCUAGGAAAGCCUUGUCAAAUGUGUGUUUCUUAGGUUCAUGGUACAGAGGAAGGGUCAAAUUACCAUCAGGGUCAUAAAACUACUCCUGGAAAUGCCCCCCACAACUCCUAGGAAAGCCUUGUCAAAUGUGUGUUUCUUAAGUUCACAGUACAGAGGAAGGGUCAAACUACCAUCAGGGUCAUAAAACUAUUACUGAAAAUGCCCACAACUCCUAGGAAAGCCUUGUCAAAUGUGUGUUUCUUAGGUUCACGGUACAGAGGAAGGGUCACACUACCAUCAGGGUCAUAAAACUUCUACUGAAAAUGCCCACAACUCCUAGGAAAGCCUUGUCAAAUGUGUGUUUCUUAGGUUCAUGGUACAGAGGAAGGGUCACACUACCAUCAGGGUCAUAAAACUUCUACUGAAAAUGCCCACAACUCCUACGAAAGCCUUGUCAAAUGUGUGUUUCUUAGGUUCACGGUACAGCGGAAGGGUCAAACUACCAUCAGGGUCAUAAAACUAUUACUGAAAAUGCCCACAACUCCUUGGAAAGCCUUGUCAAAUGUGUGUUUCUUAGGUUCACGGUACAGAGGAAGGGUCACACUACCAUCAGGGUCAUAAAACUUCCACUGAAAAUGCCCACAAUUCCUACGAAAGCCUUGUCAAAUGUGUGUUUCUUAGGUUCACGGUACAGAGGAAGGGUCAAACUACCACCAGGGUCAUAAAACUACUCCUGGAAAUGCCCACAACUCCUUGGAAAGCCUUGUCAAAUGUGCGUUUCUUAGGUUCACGGUACAGAGGAAGGGUCAAACUACCAUCAGGGUCAUAAAACUACUCCUGGAAAUGCCCACAACUCCUAGGAAAGCCUUGUCAAAUGUGCGUUUCUUAGGUUCACAGUACAGAGGAAGGGUCACACUAACACCAGGGUCAUAAAACUACUACUGGAAAUGCCCACAACUCCUAGGAAAGCCUUGUCAAAUGUGUGUUUCUUGGGUUCACGGUACAGAGGAAGGGUCAAACUACCAUCAGGGUCAUAAAACUACUACUGAAAAUGCCCACAACUCCUAGGAAAGCCUUGUCAAAUGUGUGUUUCUUAGGUUCACGGUACAGAGGAAGGGUCACACUACCACCAGGGUCAUAAAACUACUCCUGGAAAUGCCCACAACUCCUAGGAAAGCCUUGUCAAAUGUGUGUUUCUUAGGUUCACAGUACAGAGGAAGGGUCACACUACCACCAGGGUCAUAAAACUACUCCUGGAAAUGCCCACAACUCCUAGGAAAGCCUUGUCAAGUAGAUGUUCUUGGGAGGCGAAAAGUCUUAUGAUACUAACCAUCUUGUCGGUAUUAUAAGACACCCUCGCUUCUCACAUCACAUCUAAAGGUCAAAGAAGGGGUCAGUCGGGUUCUAAUGAGUGUUUCUUUAGGUUCACGGUACAGAGGAGGGGUCAAACUACUCACAGUAACUAGCUCAAGCCUGUGUAUAUAUCUAACUCUCUGUCUGUCUGUCUGUCUAUCUAUCUAUUUAUACCAUCAGGGUCAUAAAACUACUCCUGGAAAUGCCCACAACUCCUAGGAAAGCCUUGUCAAAUAGGUGUUCUUGGGUGGCAAAAUGUCUUAUGAUAGGACCCUAUAUGAGUGGCUGCGUGCGACAAGGGGCCAAGCGCCAACCACCGUGAAAUUGAGUUAAUAGUGUAUUCAGUUCUAUAAUUUCCCCUUCUUCUUAGAAACAACAGUAAUAUGAUCGUAGCUCUGCUGUGCGUGCAGCAAACGUUGAUUAAUCACAGUAGUGUGAAGCUCAUCAACCAUGUCAUUGCCGUCACCGUCUCAUUCAGUAAAUAUCACACGUUUGCAGAGGCAGUUGUUGAUAAUCGUGGUUGAUUCUAACACAAAACAUUAGUAUACAAUAUUGUUACCAAAAAAUUAUCAUCAGAUACAUGAAAGUUUCUUUAACUGGCAGUAUAAAGGAACUUUAUUGAAGGGACUUUGAUACGUAAGGUUUCUCUAUCAAUACGUGCCUCACCAGCCGGCCCAAACUUUCGUACCGCAUUGCUGGCACCAAGGCCAAGGUCGCAGCUGAUGAUUGAAUGAGACAUGUUUCUAUAUUACAUGCCAUAGCUAACCUCAUGUACGAGAUAGUCAGUUUCGGUUGACACCAUCAGACUCAGCAGUAACUGUAGAAUCAAGAUGUAGUGUAAAAACAUGAUAAAACAAAAUAGAAAAUGGUUUUACGAUGAGUUGAACUGUGACGAUGUUAAAAAAUGUUUAUAAUAUGUUUUACUUUUGCUCGCUUUACUCGAAAGUUGUUUCAUUGACAGCUGAAAUUUACUUUGCAAUUCGUAGGAAAAUCUCUCAUGAACACGAUAGUGUCCUUAAAAUGCAGAUAAAUAUCCACAUAUUGAAAACACAGAGACAUUUAUACGAGCAUUUCACUCGCCGGCCCCGGCAAACAUGGCGCGCGGCGGCGAUGGUCGGGGUGGGGAAGUGGCCUUGGAAAGGCCUUGCCUUGGCGGGGGGUUGGGGGGGGUUGGGGGGGGGGAGACGGGGAAGCACCAAUACGUUG